GAUGAACGCUGGCGGCGUGCCUAAUACAUGCAAGUCGAGCGAACAGACGAGGAGCUUGCUCCUCUUACGUUAGCGACGGGCGGGUGAGUAACACGUGGAUAACCUACCUAUAAGACUGGGAUCACUUCGGGUAACCGGCGCUACUACCGGAUAAUAUAUUGAACCGCCUGGUUCAAUAGUGAAAGACGGUUUUGCUGUCACUUAUAGAUGGAUCCGCGCCGCAUUAGCUAGUUGGUAAGGUAACGGCUUACCAAGGCAACGAUGCGUAGCCGACCUGAGAGGAUGAUCGGCAACACUGGAACUGAGACACGGUCCAGACUCCUACGGGAGGCAGCAGUAGGGAAUCUUCCGCAAUGGGCGAAAGCGUGACGGAGCAACGCCGCGUGAGUGAUGAAGGUCUUCGGAUCGUAAAACUCUGUUAUUAGGGAAGAACAAAUGUGUAAGUAAAUAUGCACGUAUUGACGGUACCUAAUCAGAAAGCCACGGCUAACUACGUG
rnacentral:rRNA from 1 species